UACGAAGGGUGCAACCGUUGCUCGGAAUUAUUGGGCGUAAAGCGCACGUAGGCGGCUCUGUAAGUUGGAUGUGAAAUCCCUCGGCUCAACCAAGGAAGUGCAUCCAAAACUGUAGAGCUUGAGUACUAAAGAGGAUCGCGGAAUUCCCGGUGUAGAGGUGAAAUUCGUAGAUAUCGGGAGGAACACCAGUGGCGAAGGCGGCCUUCUGGACCAGCACUGACACUCAAGCACGAAAGCGUGGGGAGCAAACAGG
rnacentral:rRNA from 1 species